rnacentral:rRNA from 1 species
GAUGAACGCUGGCGGCGUGCCUAAUACAUGCAAGUCGAGCGAACAGAUGAGGAGCUUGCUCCUCUGACGUUAGCGGCGGACGGGUGAGUAACACGUGGAUAACCUACCUAUAAGACUGGGAUAACUUCGGGAAACCGGAGCUAAUACCGGAUAAUAUAUUGAACCGCAUGGUUCAAUAGUGAAAGACGGUUUUGCUGUCACUUAUAGAUGGAUCCGCGCUGCAUUAGCUAGUUGGUAAGGUAACGGCUUACCAAGGCAACGAUGCGUAACCGACCUGAGAGGGUGAUCGGCCACACUGGAACUGAGACACGGUCCAGACUCCUACGGGAGGCAGCAGUAGGGAAUCUUCCGCAAUGGGCGAAAGCCUGACGGAGCAACGCCGCGUGAGUGAUGAAGGUCUUCGGAUCGUAAAACUCUGUUAUUAGGGAAGAACAAAUGUGUAAGUAACUGUGCACGUCUUGACGGUACCUAAUCAGAAAGCCACGGCUAACUACGUG